UACGGAGGGAGCUAGCGUUAUUCGGAAUUACUGGGCGUAAAGCGUCACGUAGGCGGCUUUGUAAGUUAGAGGUGAAAGCCUGGAGCUCAACUCCAGAACUGCCUUUAAGACUGCAUCGCUUGAAUCCAGGAGAGGUGAGUGGAAUUCCGAGUGUAGAGGUGAAAUUCGUAGAUAUUCGGAAGAACACCAGUGGCGAAGGCGGCUCACUGGACUGGUAUUGACGCUGAGGUGCGAAAGCGUGGGGAGCAAACAGG
rnacentral:rRNA from 1 species